rnacentral:ncRNA from 1 species
AAGCUUAGCGGUGACUAAAAACCGCGCGGUUGCGUG